rnacentral:rRNA from 1 species
UACGGAGGAUGCAAGCGUUAUCCGGAUUUAUUGGGUUUAAAGGGUGCGUAGGCGGAAUAAUAAGUCAGUGGUGAAAUACCCCGGCUCAACCGGGGAACUGCCAUUGAUACUGUUAAUCUAGAGUAUAUUUGAUGUGGGCGGAAUGUAGCAUGUAGCGGUGAAAUGCUUAGAUAUGCUACAGAACACCGAUUGCGAAGGCAGCUCACUAAACUAUAACUGACGCUGAGGCACGAAAGCGUGGGGAGCAAACAGGAUUAGAUACCCUGGUAGUCCACGCUGUAAACUAUGAUCACUCGUUGUUGGCGAUAUACAGUCAGCGACUGAGCGAAAGUAUUAAGUGAUCCACCUGGGAAGUACGAUCGCAAGGUUGAA